rnacentral:rRNA from 1 species
AGGUAGUGACAAGAAAUAACAAUACGGGGCUUAAUGUCUUGUAAUUGGAAUGAUGGGACUUUAAACCUCUUCCAGAGAAUCAAUUGGAGGGCAAGUCUGGUGCCAGCAGCCGCGGUAAUUCCAGCUCCAAUAGCGUAUAUUAAAGUUGUUGCAGUUAAAAAGCUCGUAGUUGAACUUCUGCCGUGUCAGGCUCGUCCACUUUUGUGGUUUUCGUUUCUGUCGCGGUUUUUUUCUGUUUUUCCCUUUUUCCUUCGUUGGUUUUGGGCGAUUCAGAUUUUUUACUUUGAGAAAAUUACAGUGUUUCAAGCAGGCUUUUGCCUUGAAUACUACAGCAUGGAAUAAUAAAGUAGGACUUUGGUUCUAUUUUGUUGGUUUUGUGAGCCAAAGUAAUGGUUAAUAGGAACA